rnacentral:rRNA from 1 species
AUUGAACGCUGGCGGCAGGCUUAACACAUGCAAGUCGAACGAGCGGCGGACGGGGGGGAAAGGUAAGGGGACGGCCCGAACGAGGGGGAUAACUAGGGGAAACGGUAGCUAAUACCGCAUACUAUCGGAUAACCCAUAUGGGAUUAGCUAGUUGGUGAGGUAAUGGCUCACCAAGGCGACGACCCCUAGCUGGUCUGAGAGGAUGAUCGGCCACACUGGGACUGAGACACGGCCCAGACUCCUACGGAGGCAGCAGUGGGGAAUAUUGCACAAUGGGCGCAAGCCUGAUGCAGCAAUGCCGCGUGUAUGAAGAAGGCCCUAGGGUUGUAAAGUACUUUCAGUCGGGAGGCGUUACCGACAGAAGAAGCACCGGCUAACUCCGUGCCAGCAGCCGCGGUAAUUC